UACGAGGGGGGCGAGCGUUGUUCGGAAUUAUUGGGCGUAAAGGGCGCGUAGGCGGUCGGAUAAGUCUUGUGUGAAAUCUUCGGGCUCAACUCGAAGUCUGCACAGGAAACUAUCUGGCUUGAGUGUGGGAGAGGUGGGUGGAAUUCCUGGUGUAGCGGUGAAAUGCGUAGAUAUCAGGAGGAACACCUGUGGCGAAAGCGGCUCACUGGACCACAACUGACGCUGAGGCGCGAAAGCUAGGGGAGCAAACAGG
rnacentral:rRNA from 1 species